UUAUCACAGUGAUUACAAGCAGAGUAGUUCCAGCGUGGGUGCCCUCAGUUUCUAGCGCUUAUGUUUGCUCUCUGGAUUCCGAUUUUCUCCAUCAAGCCUUAUAGCUUUUGCUUUGGAAAUCUGGCACUUAAUAUCCAAUGUUAAUUACAUUUCCUAUUCUGAGGAAAAUCCUAUUGGGCUAAUUUUUCAAAAUCAUAUAAUGAAAGAACUUCAGUGACAAAUCAUGAGGACACAGCAGAGGAAUGAUUUGCUGGGAUGUAGAGAUGGACCACAGUUAAUAAAGGGCUGAGAGACUAAGAAGUGGAACCAACCAAUUAUUGCUCAUAUUCUACUCAGAUAUAAAGUGGGAGGUCUGAAUUGUACGUAUUUGAGUUUAUGGGUAUCACCACCAUUCAAAUUGGAUUGUUCACUGAUGGAGUAAGAUUGGCUACUGACAUCUUGGGCCAGAUAAUUCUCACUUGCGGUGACUGUCCUGUGCCUUGUGUGAUGUUUAGCAGCCUCCCUGGCCUCUAUCCACCAGAUGCCAGUAGCAUCCUGCAAGUCAUGGUGACACAAGCUGCCGACUUCCAUACCAGCAAUCCCUCCAAGAAUGAAAGGGCAAAUCUCCAAAUAUGAGAUGGAAAGUGACUUCUUAUGUUGCAGUACAAAAAGCAAUACAGUGAGGAGAAGACAGUAACUUACAAGGAAGAUGCUUUUCCAGGGUUGAACAGAUAGCAGGGGAGCCAACCAAGUUUGAGUUAAAUAUAAUAUUGAAUAUGAAUUUUUGAAAUAUAUAAAUGAGCAAAAAGAAAAGAGAAAAAUAACACUUCAUGGGCCACAGUGAGUUUCAAAUGUUAAACACAAAGGUGCAGUUGGUCAGUAUUUCUCAGAUGGCUUUUUGAAAUUCAAUCGUCAAAACUAUUUUUGAGGCCAAACUGCUGAGAUCUCGCAGAAAGCUGCUCAUGUGUUUGGCUGUCGAAGCCAGCCCCAAAUUAGGUAGAUCUGAGAAAGGAGAGAGAGCUGCAAAAGCUUUUCCAAGUCCCACUGGAAACAAGGGUGUGUGUGUGUGUGUGUGUGUGUGCAUGCACACACAUGACUGUGUGCUGGGCAGAAAGGAAAGUGUUUACUUCAACUGGUACCAUUGCUUUCCAGAGAGAUGAGUGAUGGGAAAUGUGUGUUUUUAAUCCUGACAAUUGAAAACAAUUAAUUUAUAAGGAUUUUCUUUGCUUUCCUACUCACACUCCCCCCAAGCAUCUGUCUACUCUGAGCAAUUGGAACAGGUUGGAGGAGGAGGAGGAGGAGCAGGGAAAGAGAGAAGCUCCUUUCAAAGUAAACAACUGCUCUUGAAUUCCUUAUCUUUGUCACCCUCUUGGCCCAAUCUAUUUCUUGGUCACAUUGAUAGUGGUUAGGAAUACAGGCUCUGGGGUCGAAUUGCUUAGGUCUGAAUUGCAGCUCCUCUGUGUACCAGCUUAGGGGCCUUGGGCAAAUUACUUCACCUUUCUGUGCCUCAGUAACCUCAUCUGCAAAGUGUAAAAGAUAGCAGUACACAUGCUCUAUGGUUGUUAUGAGAAUUAAACAUAAAAGUCACUUAGAAUGGUGACCAUUGCAAGUAUCUUUUCUCCACAGCUGUAUCCACAGCUCUGAAUAUAUCUGUCACUGCUCCAUCCACCCUCAUAACAGGACUACAACCCACAAUCCCCUAUGCCAUUGGACUCAUUUAAAUGAUGAACACUGUAUCGUGAGGUCACUGAAUCUAACCAUCUGAUCAAAACGAGUGUCAGAAAAUGAAUGAAAAUAAUCAUCACUUCCUUUAAAAACACAUAUGCUCAAGUCUUUCUAAGGAGUCUGGCUGGGUUAUCAUCUUUUAUAUUUAGAGUAUAAUACAGCCAACGAUUACAUCAAGGCAUGGUAACCUUCCUUACUUCAAUUUAACCAUCGCUCUGGUCCAGAAAAAGGUCAUUCCUAUUUUAGAGUCAAGAUAAAUAAGAAUUUGUUGUCCAUAAAAUUGAGGGCAGUACUACAGAAUAAGUGAGAAAAUGGAUAUUGCUGUGGUGGGAAUUCUGGACAAAAAAUUCAAUUGUCCAGAGGAAAGCCUAUAGGAGUGACCCUCAGGCGCUUCCCACGAGAAUCAAGCCCUGUUUGAGGAACUCCUCACCGUGUGCCAUUAUGUUGUGAGACCUGAAGAGGACCUUUCCAUGCUGACAGGAGACCCCCCCGCAUCUUACCCUCCUCCUCCCCUUCUCAGUGAGACACUGGACUCUGUCCAGACUGCCUAGCCCACCUGGAAUCGUCUAGGUCUUUCUAUCACAAUACUGCUUUAGAAAAGUCUGUGUGAAGGAGGGGACUCUGGUAUUUAACUCCAUCCAUCAAUGUCAACCCCUCUUUCCCCUCUACCCCAACAGCUUGGUCCAUUUACCUAAAAGCUGAAUAGUCUAAAUGGAUGGAUUUUGUGCUGGUCUCAUUAGAAAGGGAAAUUAGCCAGGCACCGUUCAGCUGUGCAGAAGGCAUGCUGAUCCUGAAAGCCCUUUCCAACCCCCGCCCCCAACCUUUUCUUCAUCACAUAUGACGUCCAUGAUUCCCCUAACAUUUCUUAAAGCUUUCAUUAUCCACCACUCUAGUUUGUGAUGAAUACAAAGCUCCAAGUUCCCAUCUCCUUGUCUCGUUAUCCAGCCCAGAGCUAAGCACAGAUCUGGACACUAUGUGAGAGUAGAUGACUUCCUACGCUGUCCUGUUCAGAGUUUGCUUUUGAUAAAUCAGUGCUAUUUAUGGACACGGUACUAUCGAAAUGUUAGGUCCUGCUGCCCCUCCAGUCCCGUUUAUACUACCCUCCUCCCAACCCUGUGUUCCUGACACACUGACCUGCUGUCAGCUCUUGGGGACCAUAGGCUCCCUGUCACCACUGAGCCAGUGUUCAUGUGUUUAUGUGUCUGGAAUGGUCUUCCCUGCUCCUCAGGUAGUUUACUAUUCUUCACCCUUUAGUUUCAGCACAUGACUCACUUCCUUAGAGAAAUGUUCUCUGAUCCCAUCAAGCUUGGUCAGUUUCCUUUCCUGCGUGUCAUUUAGAAUCAUGUCUGUCUAUCAAAGCACUUUCCCCAGCUUGUAAAAUUAUGGUUUUAUUGGUUGCUUAUUUGAUUAAUAUCUUGUUUCUCUACUAGACUACAAUUCUGUUCCAGGGAGCAAGAACUAUGUCUCAUUCAUUCAUUCAUUCAUUCAAUCUUAACUUACCAUUGCAUAUCAACACCUAUCAUAGUGCCUGGCAGCUAGCAGAUGUUUACUAAAUAUUUGUCAAAUGAAUAAAGGUCAUGCAACCACGAGGGCUAUGCCAUUAGGAUGUUUAAGAAUGUAACUCUUCCAGUUACCUAUUACUUUUUAUCUCCCUAGAGACGGCAAGAGAAGAAAGCUCAGUCAUAUAUGCAACAAAUCUGUAUGGAAUACCUCCUAUGAACCAGGCUUUGCAGAAAAGACAGUCAUCUUGCAUGCCCAAAGCAGCAAACUCCUCCAGUGCUAAUGGGCAUUCCCAGGCUACAAUGUCAAUAGCGUCUGCACAAUGCCAACAUAGUCCCUUUUAUUCUGGGGAGGUGGGGGAAGGAUGGGAGCUCAUCUCUUGUCCUUAGUAAUCUCAGUGACAUUCAGUCUUGACUGAAUAUGGUGGCUUCCUAAGCAGUGCUUCACAAAUAUGAGAUUAAUAUUAGCAGCUCCAGAGAAUCGAGGUAAAAAUCAUGGGAAAGAAUUAUCAUUCUCAAAAUUAGUACAAAAUUAAUACUAAAUAAAAAACAAAUGAUGACAAGUGAAGUUUUCUGAUGUAUUGAAAAAAGACUACAGCACCCUUUUGACUCUGCCUAAUGUGCACCUGAGUAUAUUUUUUCAGCUUGAACUUUAGGAUUUUAUGGAGUUCUGAUUAAUAACACUGCUAUUCCAGGCUAUUUGGUACAAGUGGACCAAGAAUUUUGCCGCCUUGCCUAGCUCAUUCAUUUGUGAUAGCUUUGCAAUGACAAUGGCCUAGAGAUACUUUCUAGGGCACUUGAGAAUUUCGAUUAAUAAGUAAUAGACUUAAGUGAUUUAUUGCAGGUAUUAUGCUUUUUCUCCCCAGAAAACCCACAACCUAGCUGUUCAGGGAAUGAACUAUUUGAGAACGAUUGCCAAGGAGCUGUUAACUUCUGUGCCUGCCUGACUUGAAGGAGUUCGGCCACAUCCUCCUGUUCCCUUACCAAUAGCCUAGAAGUUAACCCCAACUUGGGAGCCUUCGUGAUUCAAGUCCCCCAGAGAUGGCCAUUAGCUGUCCCCAUAAAGAGCAAUAUUGAGACCUUUCAAAUUCCAUAGAAAAGAAUGAACAUGUGAACGCUGUGCCCCUCAAAGGCACACAAGGGAGUAAGUUUGUCCACCAUUUAACUUACACCAAAUUGAUGCCAGCUUUUGGCAAAAGGAAACAAAUAAAUACAUACACAGAUUAAAUAAUUCAAAACUUA